rnacentral:rRNA from 1 species
GACGAACGCUGGCGGCGUGCUUAACACAUGCAAGUCGAACGGAAAGGCCCUGCUUUUGUGGGGUGCUCGAGUGGCGAACGGGUGAGUAACACGUGAGUAACCUGCCCUUGACUUUGGGAUAACUUCAGGAAACUGGUGCUAAUACCGGAUAGGAGCUCCUGCUGCAUGGUGGGGGUUGGAAAGUUUCGGCGGUUGGGGAUAGACUCGCGGCUUAUCAGCUUGUUGGUGGGGUAGUGGCUUACCAAGGCUUUGACGGGUAGCCGGCCUGAGAGGGUGACCGGGGACAAUGGGCCUGAGAUACGGCCCAGACUGGUACGGGAGGCAGCAGUGGAGAGUAUUACACAGUGGGCGGAAGCGUGAUGCAGAAGCGCCGCGUGCGGGAUGACGGCCUUCGGGUUGUAAACCGCUUUCGCCUGUGACGAAGCGUUAGUGACGGUAAUGGGUAAAGAAGCACCGGCUAACUACGUG